rnacentral:rRNA from 1 species
AUUGAACGCUGGCGGCAUGCCUAACACAUGCAAGUCGAACGGAAACGAUGGGAGCUUGCUCCCAGGCGUCGAGUGGCGGACGGGUGAGGAAUGCAUAGGAAUCUGCCCAGUAGCGGGGGACAACUCGGGGAAACUCGAGCUAAUACCGCAUACGCCCUACGGGGGAAAGCAGGGGAUCUUCGGACCUUGCACUAUUGGAUGAGCCUAUGCCUGAUUAGCUUGUUGGUGGGGUAACGGCCUACCAAGGCGACGAUCAGUANCUGGUCUGAGAGGACGAUCAGCCACACUGGGACUGAGACACGGCCCAGACUCCUACGGGAGGCAGCAGUGGGGAAUAUUGCCCAAUGGGCGCAAGCCUGAUGCAGCAAUGCCGCGUGUGUGAAUAAUGCCUGCGGGUUGUAAAGCACUUUCAGU